rnacentral:rRNA from 1 species
GCAAGUCGAACGGAAACGACGCUAACUUGCUAGCAGGCGCCGAGUGGCGGACGGGGGAGUAAUGUAUAGGGAACUGCCUAGUAGUGGGGGACAACAUGUGGAAACGCAUGCUAAUACCGCAUACGCUCUACGGAGGAAAGUGAGGGACCUUUCGGGGCCUCAUGCUACUAGAUGAACCUAGAUUGGAUUAGCUUGUUGGUAAGGUAAUGGCUUACCAAGGCGACGAUCCAUAGCUGGUUUGAGAGAAUGAUC